rnacentral:rRNA from 1 species
AUUGAACGCUGGCGGCAGGCCUAACACAUGCAAGUCGAGCGAGCGGCGGACGGGUGAGUAAUGUCUGGGGAACUGCCCGCUAUCGCGGGAUAACUCCUUUAAACGGUAGCUCAUACCGCUUACGAUCGUAUGUACCCACAUGGGAUUAGCUAGUAGGUGGGGUAAAGGCUCACCUAGUCGACGCUCCCCAGCUGGUCUGAGAGGAUGAUCAGCCACACUGGGACUGAGACACGGCCCAGACUCCUACGGGAGGCAGCAGUGGGGAAUAUUGCACAAGGGGCGAAAGCCUGAUGCAGCCAUGCCGCGUGUAUGAAGAAGGCCUUAGGGUUGUAAAGUACUUUCAGCGGGGAGGCGGUACCCGCAGAAGAAGCACCGGCUAACUCCGUGCCAGCAGCCGCGGUAAUUC